AUACCGCAUAAGACCACAGUACCGCAUGGUAUAGUGGUAAAAACCGAGGUGGUGUAAGAUGGACCCGCGUCUGAUUAGGUAGUUGUGGGGUAACGGCCACCAAGCCGACGAUCAGUAGCCGGCCUGAGAGGGUGGACGGCCACAUUGGGACUGAGACACGGCCCAGACUCCUACGGGAGGCAGCAGUGGGGAAUAUUGCACAAUGGGGGAAACCCUGAUGCAGCGACGCCGCGUGGGCGAUGAAGUAUUUCGGUAUGUAAAGCUCUAUCAGCAGGGAAGAAAAUGACGGUACCUGACUAAGAAGCCCCGGCUAACUACGUG
rnacentral:rRNA from 1 species